AACGAACGCUGGCGGCAGGCCUAACACAUGCAAGUCGAGCGAGGACUUCGGUCCUAGCGGCGGACGGGUGGGUAACGCGUGGGAACGUGCCCUUUACUUCGGAAGAUCCCGGGGAAACUGGUAGUAAUACCGGCUCAGCCCCUUGGUGGAAAGAUUGAUGGGCGAAGGGUCGGCCCGCGAUGGAUUAGUUAGUUGUGGGGGUAAUGGCGUACCAAGCCGACGAUACAUAGCUGGGUUGAGAGGAUGGUCCGCGACACUGGUACUGAGACACGGCCCAGAAUAUUACGGGAGGGAGGAGUGGGUGAUCCAGGCAAAUGGCGGGAAUCCUGAAGGAGCUAUGACGGGUGAGCGAUGAAGGUCGUAGGGUUGUAAAGCAAGUUCAGAUGGGAAGAUAAUGACGGUACCAGCAGAAGAAGCCCCGGCUAACUCCGUG
rnacentral:rRNA from 1 species